UGGUUGGAGGACUUGGGAUUCCCUUUCCUCACCAAUCUGGCCCCAGAGACUUGCCCUCCGUGUCCCCUGACUGGCCCCUUGGGUCACCUGGAGGGGGAUAAAAGGGGCAGCAGGGCUGACUCAGGA